UUCUGCUACAUCGGUUUCAAACACUAUGAAAACCUUAAAGAAACAAAUAAAAAAAAAGCGCCUAAAAGAAAAUAUCCCUCACGGAGUUUCUGUACGCCUCCAUCCCCACCUCCUUCUUGCAUCUCCAUCUCUCUCCUCCAUAGAUCACCUCCUAUCUCCUCUCGCAUCUCCUCCUCUACCGUCCUUUAUCUUUUAGCGUCAAUGGCAACGGUGUGGCGAUGGUGGCGUUGUGGGCGGUGAUGUCGUUGCUUGUGGCGCUGUAAUUCCUUUAUUAGGGUUUCGAUUUGGUUUUUUUGGGGCAUGAAAGAUUGCUGAAGAUAAGCUGAAGGAUGACAAUACUACUUUUAGAGGAGGAGAGGGUGGUGUCAGCAAAAAAAAAUGAUGAUAUCAAGCAUCUGAAGGAGGAACACUGCUUUAUUUGACGAAAAUUGUCAGUAUUCAAGUUUUGACAAAGAGCAGAUUGACGAAGUAAGAAGUUAGUGGGUGCUUCAUGUUGUUGAACAAUUGUAUAAUAGCUAGGUUACGUUGUCAAAAAAUAUACAACUCUAUUAAUAAAUGUAUUUUGCGUAGUUUAAUGUUUGUAAUGUUAUUGUAGAACAUAUAUAUGUAAUCGGUUUUAUUAGGGUGAAAAUUACAAAAUUCAUUGAGGUUUGGAAAUUUAUAUUCAACUAUUUAUUAUACACUCUUCAAUAUAUGGUACAUUGAAUUAAAUAUGUAA